AAGAGAGAGGUCCUCGGCUCUGGCCUCCGGCUACAGUGCAGUGCUUGCACACGCGCCUCACGCGCCGCCGUACGCGGUGUCUGAAGGUUCAAAACCUUCGUCCUUCCACAGGUAACCUCUUUUCUUUUAAAAGUUACUUUUUUUUUUAAAACAAGAGCGAUUCAUAAAUUCGUAAAAGAGAAAAGAAAAUAAAUUAUGGAAAAUAAUCACCUUCUGAAAUAUUAUUGCAAAUGUUUGGUGUACAAUGCUUUUCGUUGUGUGUUUUUCUCUAUUUCUCUGUGCAUUAGCGUGUCCUUUUACACAUUUGAGAAAAGGCUUUAUAGCCUUGAUUUACUGCCUAUUUUGGAAAGAAAUCGAAAGAUUUCUUUCCAAACUCUGUUCUAAUCUAUUUACUACAAUCUUGCUUUGAUUUCUUUCCUUUUCUUGCAGGUGACCGCGAGAAUCUCGGUGAUUCAAGGGCUGCUGGCAUUGAUGGAGGCCUGAAGUUUGGUGGUGAGGAUUCGUGGUGACGGUGAGGCGCUGAUUACUGAGGCAGAGCCUUGAAUGGUGGCCUCGAUUCGGGAGCUGGACAGUCGCUUCCUGAACCUUCUAGAAUUAGUGGCGGCUCGAGGAGAAGGAGAGCUAGGGUUUCUAACCCUAUCUGAAAGUCAUUUGGGCCCUUACUAUUUGGGCCUUCGGGUUUGGGUCUGCUAUAGGUUAAGUUUGGGUUUCUAAGUUAUUUAGGUUAAGGUUGUAACUGGUAUAGGGUAAUAGGUCUAAGGUAUUUGGGCUUAACGGGCUUUGGCUGUAAAUGGACUGUGGACUGUUAAAUAAAUAAAUAUUUAUUUAUU
rnacentral:lncRNA from 1 species